AUUCCAACAAUUUCACCGGUUCAGUACCUGUUAGUCUAUGGAAAUCUGUAUGCUUGAUGGAGUUCUCUGCUGCAAAUAACUUUUUGGACGGGCCUCUUCCUGCAGAAAUUGGUAAUGCCGUUUCACUUCAGAGGCUUGUUCUUAGUAACAAUCGGUUGAAGGGCAAAAUACCUAAGGAGAUUGGCAAUCUCACAGCUCUUUCCGUUCUUAAUUUGAACUCAAAUUUCUUUGAGGGGAACAUACCUGUGGAGCUUGGAUAUUGCGCUGGUCUAACCACACUGGACCUGGGAAAUAACAUUCUCAAUGGAUCAAUUCCUGAGAAAUUUGCAGGCCUGGCUCAGCU
rnacentral:lncRNA from 1 species